AAUAAAAGUAUUAUUGAUUUUAUUUUUAAUAAAUUUUUAAUAAAAAUAAUUUUAUAUAAAUUUGUAUCUAAGUAUAUUUUAUAGAAAAGAUUUUUUUAGUUAUAGAGAAAUAGUAUUGUGAAAGAAAUAUUAUUUGUAUUAAAUUAAAUUAAAGUAAAAUUUAGUUUUUGUACCUUGUGUAUCAGGGUUUAUUAAAUAAUAAUUAUAAAGUUUAAUUUUCCCGAAUUUAAAAGAGAUAAUAAAUAAUUUUUUUUAUUGUAAAAAAAAUGUUUAUAAUUAUUUAUUUGAAAUUAAAAGUUAUUCGGUUUUAAAUAUAUCUGGUUUAUUAAGAAAUAAAUUUAAUUUAGGUAGUUUUAUUUUAUUAAUUUAUUUUUUUAAGUUAAUAGAUUUAAUUAUUAUUAGUUAAGGGGAUAAGCUUUUAAUUAAAUUUCUAUAAUAAAAUUUAUAAAAAAAAUAUAUAGGUUUAGAAAUAUCCAUUAUUGUUAGUUUGUUGUAAUUAUAUUUUUAUUUUAUAUUAUUUUAAAUUUAUUUAGAAUUUUAUUAAUAAGUAAUAUAAAAUAAUUUAUUGUUAUUUAUAAUGAUAAAAUUAGUAUAUAAUAAUAUUUGAAUAUUAGUUAAUUAAAGAUUAUUAAAAGGAAUUCGGCAAAUAUUUUAUUCGCCUGUUUAAUAAAAACAUGUCCUUUAGAUUUAUAAUUUAAGGUUUAACCUGCCCAUUGAAAUUUUUGAAAGGCCGCAGUAAUUUGACUGUGCAAAGGUAGCAUAAUCAUUAGUUUUUUAAUUAAAAGCUUGUAUGAAUGGUUGGACGAGAUAAAAUCUGUCUUUUAAUUAAAUAUAGAAUUUAAUUUUUAAGUUAAAAAGCUUAAAUAUUAGUAAAAGACGAGAAGACCCUAUAGAUCUUUAUAUAAUUUUUUAUAGUGUAAAUAAAGAUUAAUUAAUUUAUUAUAAUAAUUUAUAUUUUAUUGGGGUAAUAGAAAGAUUAAUAUAAUUCUUUUUUUUGAAAUAUUAAUAAAUAGUUUUUUGAUCCAUUAAUAGUGAUAAUAAGAUUAAGUUACCUUAGGGAUAACAGCGUAAUUUUUUUAGAGAGUUCAUAUCGAUAAAAAAGAUUGCGACCUCGAUGUUGGAUUAAAAUUAAUCUUAGGUGCAGAAGUUUGGGAUUUUGGUCUGUUCGACCAUUAAAUUUUUACAUGAUCUGAGUUUAGACCGGUGUAAGCCAGGUCGGUUUCUAUCUUUAUUAGAUUAAUUUAUUUUAGUACGAAAGGACCAAAUAUUUAGUAUAUUAAUAUUUUAUUUUUGAAUAGUAUU
rnacentral:rRNA from 1 species